CUAUUAGUUCCCAUGAGAGCUGAUAGAUAAAAAGAGCCUGGCACCUACUGCCCCUCUCUUGCUUCCUCUCUCCCAGUUUGAUCUCUGCACACCCUGGCUCCCUUUUGCCUUCUACCAUGAGUGGAAGCAGCCUGAAGCCUUCCCCAGAAGCAGAUACUGGUCCCAGGCUUUUUGUACAACCUGCAGAACUAUAGAUCCUCCCAAAGGAUGGGUGCCUUCAUUCACUCAAGAAAUACCUUAUUUUUUGUUCAUUCUGAAAAUCACAUCGCCAGAUCCAACACCUUUUUAUCCCAAUCACCAGUACAAGCCACCCGUAUCAGUGUACACUGUGGCUGACCGAUCCAUAGUGAUGCUUUGAGGUAGUCGUACAGUGUCCAGAAGGCAAAAGGACAAGUAUGCACUGCCCUACUUACCUACUUUCCACACUGCUGCACAGGAAAAUCUGACAGAGGACAAUAACAAACAUCUCACCAGCUCAUGCGUUCUUUUUUGAUCCUAAUUCCGAGAGACUCACCAAAGACAUGAAGAGAAAACAAACAAUACUUUUCUUGGAAAUAUUGUAAUUGCUGGUACAUUUGUUGUUCUGGCAUAAAGUAGAAAUUGUCAGGUAAACAUUGCUUCCUUUUGGAUCAAAAAGAAAUUUAACCAAAUAAAUGCAAGAGGUAUGAGGGAAGAUAAUGGGAAAUAAAUGAGAUUUGAGAAAUCAGUGGAGGUUCAAGUGGUUUUUUUUUUCUUUUGUAGUUGAUAAUACUCUGUUUUAAAUCAGUGAGUUUUACUUAUAUAUGCUUGUCCUUUUUUUUUUCUAGUUACCAGAACAAUACUCAGUGAACUUAUGAAUAUAUGGUAAAUAUUAAACACAUCCCACUUGGAUGAGAAGAUAUGUGAGUCGAUGAGUAUAGCUAAGUCUAAAGUUAGAUGUGUUCCAUAAACAUAGUGUUUAUGGAGUUGGUGCAUAUUCACUUCUCAGUAAG
rnacentral:lncRNA from 10 species